GAAAAAGUGAAAAUUUACAUCAGAGGAAAUGUAAUAUGUUUACUAGUGAUCACGUGCAGUGAAUGGUUAAUAUGCUUUUAUGUACGUUUUUGUGAGCCCAGACGGAAAAUAUGACAUUUU